UCAAACUUGGUCAUUUAGAGGAAGUAAAAGUCGUAACAAGGUCUCCGUUGGUGAACCAGCGGAGGGAUCAUUACUGAGUUUACGCUCCAAAACCCAUGUGAACCUAUACCUACGCCGUUGCUUCGGCGGGCUUUCGCCCCGGGCAGCCGCUCCCGCCGCGCCCCCCCCUCUCAGCGAGGAUGGGGGAAGGGGGGGAAGGGCACCCGGAACCAGGCGCCCGCCGGAGGAGACAACCAAACUCUCUUGUAUUCUCCUAUGCAUGUCUGAGUGGAUUUUACAAUCAAAUGAAUCAAAACUUUCAACAACGGAUCUCUUGGUUCUGGCAUCGAUGAAGAACGCAGC
rnacentral:misc_RNA from 1 species